rnacentral:tRNA from 1 species
GGAGAGAUGCCAGAGAGGUUGAUUGGAACGAUUUCGAAAAUCGUUAAGGAGAUAAAUCUUCUUCCAGGGUUCGAAUCCCUGUCUCUCCG